rnacentral:rRNA from 1 species
UCCUGGGGCUGAAGCCGGUCCCAAGGGUAUGGCUGUUCGCCAUUUAAAGUGGUACGCGUGCUGGGUUUAGAACGUCGUGAGACAGUUCGGUCCCUAUCUGCCGUGGACGUUGGAGAUUUGAGGAAAGCUGCUCCUAGUACGAGAGGACCGGAGUGGACGAACCGCUGGUGUUCCAGUUGUCUCGCCAGAGGCAUUGCUGGGUAGCUACGUUCGGACAGGAUAACCGCUGAAAGCAUCUAAGCGGGAAGCCCCUUCCAAGAUGAGAUCUCCCUGAGGCCUUGAGCCUCCUGAAGAGCCGUUCAAGACCAGGACGUUGAUAGGUCGGGUGUGUAAGCGCUGCGAGGCGUUGAGCUAACCGAUACUAAUUGCUCGUGCGGCUUGACUAUAUAACACCCAAG